GGUCGAUGAUGAAAAGUAAAAGGUCUGAUUACCCAUAAUCCUCUCCUAAUGCCCUCUGGCUCCCAGUGGCCCUGCUCUCACCUCCCAUCAUGCACUAGUGUUGCAUGAUGGUCCCUGGAGCUGCUGACAGAUAGACAGGAAGUGACAUCACAGUUUGUGUCUGUACAGAGAUCCUAUAGGCUCAAAGUGAUGACUGACUUCCAACAGAACCAAUCAUGAUGGAGCAUGAGGCUGAGGAGGAGGAGGGAGAUGAUCUCAAGUUUUCAACCUGAGACC